rnacentral:rRNA from 1 species
UUAAAUAGCCAUAUCACCCUGCAACUCACAACUGGCAACCCACUGAAGCUAAGCAGGUGUGAGCCUGGUCAGUACCUGGAUGGGAGAGCUCCUGAGAACAACUAAGGUUCCUGCUGGAA